AAAUGAAAGUGAAAAUGGUUUAUGUAAUUCUUGAUGAUUUAGAUGAAUUGACUGAUUUUUGGGGCAUUUCGGAUGCAUGUAGAGUCAACAGGAG